rnacentral:rRNA from 1 species
AUGCGUGGAGAUGGACUUGACCACCGGGGCGCCACCAACGCCUCCUCCCCCUCCCCCUCCCCUCCGUCUAAAUGGCGACAUCUCCUCCAAAUCUCGCCUCCUCCCCUUCAUUAUUCCUCCACCCUCGCCCCCUCCCCAUCCCCCACCCCGUUCCCGCUCAAAACCCUAACCCUAGCGGCGCCCCUCGCCAUGGCCGCCGACUACCGCACACCCGACAGGCUCCUCCCCGCCGCCGCCGCCGAGGGGCCGGCCCAGGACCCGCCCAAACCGGCCCUCGGCGUCGCGGGGCCGGCCGCCGCCGCGACCCACGACGGCCUGCGCUUCUGGCAGUACAUGCUCGCCGGCUCCGUCGCCGGCGUCGUCGAGCACACGGCCAUGUUCCCGGUCGACACCCUCAAGACGCACAUGCAGGCCGCCUCGCCGCCCUGCCGCCCCACCCUCUCGCUGGGGGCCGCGCUGCGGGCCGCCGUCGCCGGGGAGGGCGGCGCGCUCGCGCUCUACCGCGGCCUCCCCGCCAUGGCCCUCGGGGCCGGCCCCGCCCACGCCGUCUACUUCUCCGUCUACGAGUUCGCCAAGUCGCGCCUCUCGGACCGUUUCGGCCCCAACAACCCCGCGGCCCACGCCUCCUCGGGGGUGCUCGCCACCAUCGCCAGCGAUGCGGUCUUCACCCCCAUGGACACCGUCAAGCAGCGGCUGCAGCUCACGAGCAGCCCCUACACCGGCGUCGCGCACUGCGUCCGCACCGUGUUCCGCGACGAGGGCCUAAGGGCCCUCUUCGUGUCGUACCGGACCACGGUGCUCAUGAACGCGCCAUACACCGCCGUCCACUUCUCCACCUACGAGGCGGCCAAGCGUGUGCUCGGGGACAUGGCAGCUGACGAGGAGUCCCUUGCCGUGCACGCCACUGCGGGUGCUGCCGCCGGUGCUCUAGCAGCCGCGUUGACCACACCGCUCGACGUUGUCAAGACGCAGCUGCAGUGCCAGGGUGUAUGCGGCUGUGAACGCUUUGCUAGUAGCUCUAUAGGAGACGUGUUUAGAACGAUUAUAAAGCGUGAUGGAUACGUUGGGCUCAUGAGGGGAUGGAAGCCGAGAAUGCUGUUCCACGCACCAGCAGCUGCCAUCUGCUGGUCCACAUACGAAGCCUCGAAGUCGUUCUUUGAAAGAUUUAAUGAGAAAAGGAGAAAAUAG